GGUUUAAUUCGAUGAUACGCGAGGAACCUUACCCGGGCUUGAACUGCCAGUGACUCAUGCAGAGACGCAUGUUUCUUCGGACACUGGCGGAGGUGCUGCAUGGUUGUCGUCAGCUCGUGCCGUGAGGUGUCGGCUUAAGUGCCAUAACGAGCGCAACCCUUCUCCCUGUUUGCCAUCGGGUCAUGCCGGGCACUCCAGGGACACUGCCAUCGUAAGAUGUGA
rnacentral:rRNA from 1 species